UCUCCGUAGGUGAACCUGCGGAGGGAUCAUUACCGAGCGAGGGCCCCCGGCCCGACCUCCAACCCUUUGUGAACCCCAUCUCGUUGCUUCGGGGGCGACCCUGCCGUUCGCGGCGUGGGGCCCCCGGAGCCCAUCAAACCCUGCGUAACUAAGUCGUCGGAGUUUAAACAAAUUAAACAAAACUUUCAACAACGGAUCUCUUGGUUCGGGCAUCGAUGAAGAACGCAGC
rnacentral:misc_RNA from 1 species